UACGGGAGGCAGCAGUGGGGAAUAUUGCACAAUGGGCGAAAGCCUGAUGCAGCUAUGCCGCGUGUAUGAAGAAGGCCUUAGGGUUGUAAAGUACUUUCAUCGGGGAGGAAAAAACAAAACUAAUAAUUUUAUUUCUUGACGUUACCCGAAAAAGAAGCACCGGCUAACUCCGUGCCAGCAGCCGCGGUAAUACGGAGGGUGCUAGCGUUAAUCAGAAUUACUGGGCGUAAAGAGCACGUAGGUGGUUUUUUUAAAGUCAGAUGUGAAAUCCCUGGGCUUAACCUAGGAACUGCAUUUUGAAACUGAAAUACUAGAGUAUCGUAGAGGGAGGUAGAAUUCUAGGUGUAGCGGUGAAAUGCGUAGAUAUCUGGAGGAAUACCUGUGGCGAAAGCGGCCUCUUAAACGAAUACUGACACUGAGGUGCGAAAGCGUGGGGAGCAAACAGGGAUUAGAUACC
rnacentral:rRNA from 1 species